UACGAAGGGGGCUAGCGUUGUUCGGAAUCACUGGGCGUAAAGGGCGCGUAGGCGGCUUUAUAAGUCGGGGGUGAAAGCCUGUGGCUCAACCACAGAAUUGCCUUCGAUACUGUAGAGCUUGAGACCGGAAGAGGUAAGUGGAACUGCGAGUGUAGAGGUGAAAUUCGUAGAUAUUCGCAAGAACACCAGUGGCGAAGGCGGCUUGCUGGUCCGGUUC
rnacentral:rRNA from 1 species